rnacentral:rRNA from 1 species
GCUAAGAAUAUUCCGCAAUGGACGAAAGUCUGACGGAGCGACGCCGCGUGGAUGACGAAGGCCGAAAGGUUGUAAAGUCCUUUUGUCGAUGAAGAAUAAGUGCGGUAGGGAAUGACCGUAUGAUGACGUUAGUCGGCGAAUAAGCCCCGGCUAAUUACGUGCCAGCAGCCGCGGUAACACGUAAGGGGCAAGCGUUGUUCGGAAUUAUUGGGCGUAAAGGGUACGUAGGCGGUUAUGUAAGCCCGGCGUGAAAUCCUGCAGCUUAACUGUAGAGCUGCGCUGGGAACUGCAAAACUCGAGUCAUGGAAGGGAAGUUAGAAUUCCAGGUGUAGGGGUGAAAUCUGUAGAUAUCUGGAAGAAUACCGGUGGCGAAGGCGAACUUCUGGCCAAUGACUGACGCUGAGGUACGAAAGUGCGGGGAGCAAACAGGAUUAGAUACCCUAGUAGUCC